GUGCACAAUCUCAGCUCACAUUUCAUUUCACCAUUCCAUUCCAUUCCAUUCCAUUCCAUUCCAUUCCAUUCCAUUCCAUUCCUUUGCAUUCCAUUCCAUUCCAUUCCAUUCCAUUCCAUUCCAUUCCAUUCCAUUCCUUUGCAUUCCAUUCCACUCCACUCCACUGCACUCCGUUCAAUUCCAUUCCUUCCCAUUCCAUUCCUUUCGAUUCCAUUCCACUCCACUCCAUUGAAUUCCAUUCCACCCCAUUCCCUUCCACUCCAUUCCACUCCACUCCAUUCCAGUUCUCCGUAUUCCAUUCGAUUCCAUUCGAUUCUAUUCCAUUCGAUUCGAUUCUAUUCCAUUUGAUUCGAUUCCAUUCCAUUCCACUCCACUCCACUCCACUCCAUUUCCACUCCACUACAUUACACCCCAUUCCUUUCCACUGCCUUCCUUUCCAUUCCGUUUCAUUCCAUUCCAUUCUAAAUCCAUUCCAUUCCUUUGUUUUCUUUUGACAGGAUCUCACUCUCUCACCCAGGCUGGAGGGCAGUGCACAAUCUCAGCUCACAUUUCAUUUCGCCAUUCCACUCCAUUGCAUUCAAUUCCAUUCCAUUCCACUCCAUUUCAUUCCAUUCCAUUACACUCCACUCUACUCCAUUCCACUCCACUCCAUUCCAUUCCAGUCCACUCCAUUCCAUUCCACUCCACUCCACUCCUUUUCAUUCGAAUCCACUCCACUCCAUUCCACUCCAUUCCAGUAAACUCCACUCCACUCCAUUCCACUCCACGCCAUUCCACUCCAUUCCAUUCCACUCCACUCAAUUCGAGUCCACUCCACUCCACUCCAUUCCAUUCCAUUCUACACCUUUCCACUUCACUCUGCUCAACUCCACUCCAUUCCAUCGCAUUCCAUUCCACUCCAUUCAACUACACUCCAUUCCACUCCACCCCACAGCACUCCAGUCCACUCCAUUG
rnacentral:lncRNA from 10 species